rnacentral:lncRNA from 1 species
UGUGCAUUCUUGAAGACCCUUCAGACAACGAGAAGGCAGCUGUCUGAAAACUGGAAGGAGGGUCCUCAGCAGAACCUGACUGCUGGCAUCCUGAUGGUAGACUUCCAGCCUCCAGAACUGUGUGAUAAAAUAUAAAGAACUGACUCUGGAGGCACUGGAGGGGGAAGGGGACACAGACCGCACAAGGCUCCCAGACAGUAGGCAAUGGAAAAUAAUGCAGCUAAG